GUGCUCGCUUUGGCAGUACAUAUAUACUAAAAUACAGAGAACAGAGAUUAGCAUGGCCCCUGCAUAAGGAUGACACACAAAUUCAUUAAGUGUUCCAUAUAUAU
rnacentral:snRNA from 1 species